GGAUUAGAUACCCCGGUAGUCCACGCCGUAAACGAUGGGCACUAGGUGUAGGGGGUGUCGACUCCCCUGUGCCGAAGCUAACGCAUUAAGUGCCCGCCUGGGGAGGUACGGCCGCAAGGCUAAAACUACAAAGGAAUUGACGGGGGCCCGGCACAAGCAGCGGAGCAUGUGGUUUAAUUGGACGCAACGCCAAGAACCUUACCCGGGCUUGACAUGUUCCUGACCGGCCUGGAAACAGGUCUUCCCUUCGGGGCAGGAUCACAGGUGGUGCAUGGCUGUCGUCAGCUCGUGUCGUGAGAUGUUGGGUUAAGUCCCGCAACGAGCGCAACCCCCGUCGUAUGUUGCCAGCAUUUAGUUGGGGACUCAUGCGAGACUGCCGGUGACAAACCGGAGG
rnacentral:rRNA from 1 species